rnacentral:rRNA from 1 species
GACGAACGCUGGCGGCGUGCUUAACACAUGCAAGUCGAACGGAAAGGCCCUGCUUUUGUGGGGUGCUCGAGUGGCGAACGGGUGAGUAACACGUGAGUAACCUGCCCUUGACUUUGGGAUAACUUCAGGAAACUGGGGCUAAUACCGGAUAGGAGCUCCUGCUGCAUGGUGGGGGUUGGAAAGUUUCGGCGGUUGGGGAUGGACUCGCGGCUUAUCAGCUUGUUGGUGGGGUAGUGGCUUACCAAGGCUUUGACGGGUAGCCGGCCUGAGGGGGUGACCGGCCACAUUGGGACUGAGAUACGGCCCAGACUCCUACGGGAGGCAGCAGUGGGGAAUAUUGCACAAUGGGCGGAAGCCUGAUGCAGCAACGCCGCGUGCGGGAUGACGGCCUUCGGGUUGUAAACCGCUUUCGCCUGUGACGAAGCGUGAGUGACGGUAGUGGGUAAAGAAGCACCGGCUAACUACGUG